CCCGGGGCUGAAGCCCCGGGCUAUUUUCUGCCGCCCCUUCGCGGCU
rfam:Desulfomonile tiedjei DSM 6799, complete genome.